CAGAAUCCGAGAAUUCAAUCGGCGGCUGUAUGUUGACUGACAAGAAUAUAAUUGCUGUUAAUCCGGCCCUGCUUCUUGUACAAAUGCAUAGUGGGGAGACAUGAACAUUUUUCGAAAAUGCGGCCCUAUCCUCUUGGGAUUCUACGUUGGACAAAUUCUGAAAACGACCCAGAAAUAUAAUUGGAGGUUCAAACCCGUGCGAGGUGAGGUUUGAUAUAUGAAACAGACCAGUCAUGGGGACACGAGAUAUGGAAAGUUUCAGCGUAGUCGUCGCCACAUUGCUGCCAACACUGCAUAUAUAAGGAAUCACGAACCAUUCAGGUAAAAUUUUGAAAACACAUAGUUAUGGCAAUAUAGAACCUCUCUUUUUUUAACAGGAAUAUUGAGACUUAGACCAGUAUCUUUUAAGUAGGCAUGUGGGGUAAAGAAGACGCAGAAGCUUCACUCGGGUACCGUCGGUAACGUAGGCGAUUGAUAUAUUUCCACCACUACAUAUGUUGGAUUGGAAUUUCCCAUUUGAUGCUUUGACUGACUAAAUGAGGAAACUUGGAGGUAAGCUCUUACGGAAUUCUAUCGAAAUAUGUUUAGUAACAUAUUGGUGCAUUACUCUGUCUUCCAGUCAGUUUCACAUAAACUUUGCACGUAUUAUAGAAAUCCCACCUACUUUUUUUUGUGUUAAUAUUAUUGAAAGUAGUAGCUGGUAGCUGUAGUCAUAAGCCCAGAGAGUCUCUGUUUUGAACAUAAUACACAAAAUGGGGCGUUCAAAAACAAUAGACUGCAUGCCUUUUAGAGUCGGCGUAAACUAUGGUCAUAUACCCCUGAUCAAAUUCAGAACUAGAAAAUCGUUGUGUCUCUGCAUUAAAAAUAAUAGUAAAAUUUAUUGUAGGCACCUAGUAGAGUAUCGAAAAUUUCCAUUUUUAGUGCCAAAUUGGUUACUCCAGUAAAUUCCAACUGUUCUAAUUUUUUUUUAAUAAUUUAUGAUGUUAGUGAGUUUCAUUGCAAUUAUUUGUUACUUAAAUUUUCUACGUAUUAAACCUUAAUUAACAAUACGUUAUUCGUUAACGCAGGUAGAAUUAAUGACGCUAACUGACCUGAUUUUGUCCAGGGGGGCGUAGUACGGUAGUUUGUACUGUGAUGUUUGGUAGUUUGGCAGUGAGCUCUCAUUUAUGAAACUGGGGAAUGUUUCGUUAUCUUCAAAUCGUAAACACGUAUCAUUAGAAUUAUAUUUUUAAAAUAUUGAUUAGGACAUGUACUAAGUAACUAAAUGUUCUAGCGAAAAUAUUCACACAUAUUGCGGAAAACGUACAAAUUUAAAUUAGAGAAAAUUAACUAUUUUUAGAGGUUGGUUUUUCAAAAAGGUGGGGAUUUAGUUAGAGAACAGAUAGAGACUAAAGGGAAGCUCUAUGAGAAAAGUUAGAAUUAAAAAGUCGAUGUUUUCGUGUCAUAGCGAAAGAUGGGUUAUUAUUAAAAAUAAUACUUGCAUUAAUUGUUGUCACCAUUUGUGAAAAAUAUGGAAAAUAUCCUCUAGGUUCGCAUACCUUUUUUUAAUUUUUUUAAGGUGGCUAACAAAAUACACAGACAGAAAAGUUUAGAUCCUGUUCGUUAAUGUAGCGCAUAGAAAAAAAUUAGAAAAGAGAACGUUUCGUGUAUGGCAUACGUAGUUAGUACGGAAUAUUAAUCUGAAGGCUUCAAGACAGUGAAAGAGUGAUGCGCUUAAGUGUGGUUCAGAGAGGUUAUUUGGGCUGUAGAAGUUUUUCUUUGAACAGGGUUCAAAUAGCGUCUCCUAGAGCGUUAGCAGAGAAGAGUAUUACAGUAAUUAGUAUAAGCGUCCAGAUUUCAUUGUUGUUGAGAUUGGCAUAGAAACACACUUUUAUGUAGUAGUAGCAGCAGCUUUAAAGUAUAUGAGUUUUUAGUUAAGAUGCCUUUCGAGUUUGCUUUAUGGCUUGAUAGGAAAUUAAAGGGUAGAUACAGAUAAGUUACGAAAAAAAGUAUGUACACUAUUCUCAAAGAUCAGCAAUAAAUAAAAGAAAUUGAUGAAAUAGUAAAGUUGACUGCGAUAUCUGAAAAUCAUCAAUAAGAUAGAUAAAUUAAUUUUGAAAAUAUUAAAUAAUAAAAACAAAUAAUAAAAUAGCAAAGAAAAUCAAAAUCAUCAAUAAGAUAGAUAAAUUAAUUUUGUAAAUAUUAAAUAAUAAAAAUAAAAUUAUAAUAGCAAAGAAAGCCUACCACGGCCACAUACACAUAAUAUUUUCGACAUAUGAACUUUUCCCAGAUAAAUAGUCAAAUAUUUCACGAUACCUUAAAACAGAAGCAUGCGGAAAUAUGUAUGAAGUUAACGCACGGUAGAUGGCUUAUUAAUUAAAAAGAUAUUAUUGGUGGUGCCUGCCAGCUUCCAGUUCCGAGAAAAGAAAUCCAACACUUUUCGUCUUUAUUUCCCCUGUCCUUUGUGCGCAAUAAAAGUACAGUUUGUACCCGCGAGGGUACACAUUCGCAGAAGUAUAUGUUUUUAAAAUAAAUGUUUUGGUCAAUAUUCACUAGGUGGGGUUACCUUAUUAAAGAAAAUCUUAUUCCAAGAGGGGACACUAGUUUACAUUCGAACCGCUAGAGGGUGCAGAUGGUCACGCGAACAAUAUGAUCAAGUCUCAUUGACGGCAUUGCUUUUCUUAAGGGUGGGAAAAUAUCUGGGCUCUGAUUGGCUUCGCCGCCAUCGCAAACUAGAGGUGGGGAGAUUGAUUAAACCCCAUUGGUGCUU